rnacentral:rRNA from 1 species
UACGGGGGGUGCAAGCGUUGUUCGGAUUUACUGGGCGUAAAGGGCGCGUAGGCGGCGUGACAAGUCACUUGUGAAAUCUCCGGGCUUAACCCGGAGCGGCCAAGUGAUACUGUCGUGCUAGAGUGCGGAAGGGGCUACUGGAAUUCUCGGUGUAGCGGUGAAAUGCGUAGAUAUCGAGAGGAACACCUGCGGCGAAGGCGGGUAGCUGGGCCGACACUGACGCUGAGGCGCGAAAGCCAGGGGAGCGAACGGG